UAGCACACUUUUAAAGUCUUUAAAAAUCUUUUAAAAACUUUUGUAAAUCUUUUAAAGCCCUUUAAAAUCCCUUGUAAAUAUUUUAAAACCCUUUUAAAAUCCCUUGUAAAUCUUUUGUAAAUAUUUUAAAACCGUUUUAAAACAAUUUUAAACCGUUUAAAAAUCUUUAAAAAACCUUUGUAAAUCUUUUAAAGUCCUUUAAAAUCCCUUGUAAAUAUUUUAAAACCCUUUUAAAUUCUCUUCUAAAUCUUUUAAAACUCUUUUAAAAUCCCUCGUAAAUAUUUUAAAAACCUUUUAAAACAAUUUUAAACCCUUUAAAAAACCUUUGUAAAUCUUUUAAAGCCCUUUAAAAUCUCUUGUAAAUCUUUUAAAACUUUUUUAAAAUCCCUUGUAAAUCUUUUAAAACCCUUUUAAAAUCUCUUGUAAAUAUUUUAAAAUCCUUUUAUAACCCCUUGUAAAUCUAUUUCCCGCCAAAAAAUUUUUUUUUUCCGAGAAUAUGUUUUUUGAAGAAAACAUUAUGGCGAGAAUUUUUUUUUCGAAAACUUUUGGCGGGAAUUUUUUUUUCGAAAUGUUUUGUCGGGAAAUUGAUUUUAGAAUAUUUUAGGCAAAAACAAUUAAUAUUUCAUUUUGUUAACCUAAAACAAUUUCUAAGUAAGGGUAAAAUGGUCAUUAAAAAUUUAAAGAGGGUAUAAAUGUAAAUGGCUAAAAAAAGGGUUGAAUUGAAAAGGGGCAUCAUGAAAAGGGUAUUAGAAAGAAUUUUUAUCAAAAAAA
rnacentral:sRNA from 1 species